GAUGAACGCUAGCGGCAGGCCUAACACAUGCAAGUCGAACGGUAACAGGAAGAGCUUGCUCUUCGCUGACGAGUGGCGAACGGGUGCGUAACGCGUAUGCAACCUACCUUUAACGUGGGAGAUAGCCCCGAGAAAUCGGGAUUAAUACCCCAUAACAGUUACAAAGUUCGCAUGUUUUCGUAAUUAAAACUCCGGUGGUUAAAGAUGGGCAUGCGUGACAUUAGCGUAGUUGGUGAGGUAACUGCUCACCAAGGCUACGAUGUCUAGGGGGCCUGAGAGGGUUGUCCCCCACACUGGUACUGAGACACGGACCAG
rnacentral:rRNA from 1 species